rnacentral:tRNA from 1 species
ACUUUUUUAGUAUAAUAAAAUUAUAUUUGACUUCCAAUCAAAAGAUCUUUUUAAGAAAAAGUA